AGAACGAACGCUGGCGGCAUGCCUAAUACAUGCAAGUCGAACGAACACUUCGGUGUUAGUGGCGCACGGGUGCGUAACGCGUGGGAAUCUGCCCUUGGGUUCGGAAUAACAGUUGGAAACGACUGCUAAUACCGGAUGAUGACGAAAGUCCAAAGAUUUAUCGCCCAGGGAUGAGCCCGCGUAGGAUUAGCUAGUUGGUGAGGUAAAGGCUCACCAAGGCGACGAUCCUUAGCUGGUCUGAGAGGAUGAUCAGCCACACUGGGACUGAGACACGGCCCAGACUCCUACGGGAGCAGCAGUAGGAAUA
rnacentral:rRNA from 1 species